ACGAACGCUGGCGGCGUGCUUAACACAUGCAAGUCGAACGGAAAGGCCCUGCUUUUGUGGGGUGCUCGAGUGGCGAACGGGUGAGUAACACGUGAGUAACCUGCCCUUGACUUUGGGAUAACUUCAGGAAACUGGGGCUAAUACCGGAUAGGAGCUCCUGCUGCAUGGUGGGGGUUGGAAAGUUUCGGCGGUUGGGGAUGGACUCGCGGCUUAUCAGCUUGUUGGUGGGGUAGUGGCUUACCAAGGCUUUGACGGGUAGCCGGCCUGAGAGGGUGACCGGAAACGUGAGGGAGGGGAGAAGGACAAGAAGCGGAGGGGGGGAGGAGGGGGGAAGGAUGGGACGAGGGGGGGAGGGCGGAAGCAGAGAGGCGGGGGGGGGGAGGACGGUCGGGGGGUGGAAGUACGCUGGAGGCUGUAAGGGAGGGGAGGGGAGGGAGAGGGGAAAAGAAGAACAGGCUAAGGAGGUGCAAGCAGCGGGGGUAGUGGUCGAAGAGAAAACGUCGGAAC
rnacentral:rRNA from 1 species